AACGCGAAGAACCUUACCUGGGUUUGACAUCGCCGGAAAUCUCACAGAGAUGUGGGGUCCUUCGGGGCCGGUGACAGGUGGUGCAUGGCUGUCGUCAGCUCGUGUCGUGAGAUGUUGGGUUAAGUCCCGCAACGAGCGCAACCCUCGUCCCAUGUUGCCAGCAAUUCGGUUGGGGACUCAUGGGAGACUGCCGGGGUCAACUCGGAGGAAGGUGGGGACGACGUCAAGUCAUCAUGCCCCUUACGUCCAGGGCUGCAAACAUGCUACAAUGGCCAGUACAAAGGGCUGCUAUCCCGCGAGGGUGAGCGAAUCCCAAAAAGCUGGUCUCAGUUCGGAUCGGAGUCUGCAACUCGACUCCGUGAAGCUGGAGUUGCUAGUAAUCCCGGAUCAGCUACGCCGGGGUGAAUACGUUCCCGGGCCUUGUACACACCG
rnacentral:rRNA from 1 species